ACUUAUGAUUGCAAACCCUAGUAAUAUUUCUACCCCAAACACAACUCUAGUUAAUGACCAAUCCCUCUUAGUACCAAUCACAUGUUCUUGUAAAAACAUCAACACCACCCUUGGUAACAUCUCAUAUGCUGGCCUUAACUAUAGUUUCAACUCAGGUGAUACUAUGUACAGGAUCUCAAGUAGCAAGUUCCAAAACCUUACUAAUUAUCAAUAUGUUGAGGCUCUUAAUCCAACUGUUGUAUGCUGGCCUUAACUAUAGUUUCAUCUCAGGUGAUACUAUGUACGCGAUGUCAACUAUUAAGUUCCAAAACCUUACAAAUUAUCAAUAUGUUGAGGCUCUUAAUCCAACUGUUGUACCAGAAAAUAUUCAAAUAGGUCAAGCUAUAGAAUUCCCAAUUUUUUGUAAGUGUCCAAACAGAACACAAACACAACCCCAAAACCAAACCCAACCAAGAUAUCUUAUUAGUUAUGUAUUUCAACCUUUUGACAACAUUUCUUCAAUUGCUUCAAGGUUUGGAACAACCCCACAAUCCAUAAGGGAAAUUAAUGGAAAUAAUCCCAAGAAUUUUGAUACCAAACCCAACCAAGAUAUCUUAUAAGUUAUGUAUUUCAACCUUUUGACAAUAUUUCUUCAAUUGCUUCAAGAUUUGGAACAACCCCACAAUCUAUUAGAGAAAUUAAUGGAAAUAAUCCCAAGAUUUUUGAUACCCUUUUCAUUCCGCUGUCUAAACUUCCUAAUAUUACACAGCCAACAGCUACAAAUGCUACCCCACCUCCUCCACCAACAAAUACAACAA
rnacentral:lncRNA from 1 species